AAUCAACGCUGGCGGCGUGCCUCAGACAUGCAAGUCGAACGCGAAAGUCCCCUUCGGGGGACAAGUAGAGUGGCGCACGGGUGAGUAACACGUAGGUAAUCUACCUUUGGAUGGGGAAUAACAACCGGAAACGGUUGCUAAUACCGCAUAAUGCAGCGGCACCUAAUGGUGACAGUUGUUAAAGCGGGGGAUCGAAAGACCUCGCGUCUAAAGAGGAGCCUGCGGCGGAUUAGCUAGUUGGAGGGUAAUGGCCUACCAAGGCGACGAUCCGUAGCCGGCCUGAGAGGGCGGUCGGCCACACUGACACUGACAUACGGGUCAGACUCCUACGGGAGGCAGCAGUCGGGAAUUUUGGGCAAUGGGCGAAAGCCUGACCCAGCAACGCCGCGUGAAGGAUGAAAUCCCUCGGGAUGUAAACUUCGCAAGAACGGGAAGAAUAA
rnacentral:rRNA from 1 species